UUCCGGGAAACCAGAAGGAUUCCGUAAAGCGGGCGGGAUUUCGCUUUGGGGAAAAAUGGUUUGCCGUUGAAGGUCCUUUUUCACGGAGCCUCCUUCUGAAAUGGGGACGUGCCUGAGGUUUCCUCCUUUCCACUAAUGACCGGAUGAUCAGCGUUGUUUAUUAGCUUUCCGAAGAAUGGAAUCUGCUGUAGCGGAGACCGCAAGUGGAUUUCCCCGGGCAGGAAGUGAUAGCAAGGAAGACAGACAGAAUAACCCUGCCGAGCCACCUCCUGCUCCAGAUACCUCCGUGUCGUUUUCAGAAAUCCUUCACCUGUUCCAGAGUGGACAGGACAUCCCUGGGCUCCAGAAGCUAAAUAUCUCUGCCACGAAUGGGAGUCCAACACCAUCUCAGAUGACUCAGAAACCAAAGCCUUGGGAGAGAAAAGCAUGACAAAGUUGUGGAGUUGGAAACUUGAAUGGGAGAUUUAGCGCUCUGUUGGAUAAGAAAUAAAUAUGUAAUAUAAACUCUUGGCCUUUCAGGUUUCUAAAAUGAUUGAGUGUACUGUUAAAAAUAAAAGUUUGUUUCCAUGAAAGCCAA